UACGUAGGGGGCAAGCGUUGUCCGGAUUUAUUGGGCGUAAAGCGCGUGUAGGCGGCCAGGUAGGUCGGUUGUGAAAAUUGGAGGCUCAACCUCGAGACGUCGAUGGAAACCAUCUAGCUAGAGUCCGGAAGAGGAGAGUGGAAUUCCUGGUGUAGCGGUGAAAUGCGCAGAUAUCAGGAAGAACACCCGUGGCGAAGGCGGCUCUCUGGUACGUGACUGACGCUGAGACGCGAAAGCGUGGGGAGCGAACAGG
rnacentral:rRNA from 1 species